UCGGCCUCCCGCCUUUAUAUAGAUGAAUGUCCAUAUUCUGUCUCCAGCCACCCCUCCUGUGUCCCAUGCCCUCGGGCUCAUUUACGGGCUUCAAUUGCAUUCCCUUCCUUCUCCUAUAUCAUCAAAUGUUCACUCCCUGGGAGGUAUCUCUGUCAGCCUACAAACAUGCUUUUAUUUAUCCUAUCUUAAAAAAUAAUUAUCAGUAUGGUUGGCAAAUAAGCUUAUGAAAAGAUGCUUAACAACAUUAGUCAUUAGGGAAAUGCAAAUUAAAACUACAAUGAGAUUCCACUACACACCAAUUAAAAUGUUUAAAAGACUGACCAUGAAACAACGUAAACAUCCAUCAACAACUGAAUGGAUAAACAAAAUGUGGAGCAUACAUGCAAUGGACUACUACCCAGCCAGAAGAGAAAUGAAGUCCUGAUACAUGUUACAACAAGGAUAAACCCUGAAGACAUUAUGCUGAGUGGAAUAAGACAAACGUAUAGAGAAGGAAGUCUAUUAGUGGUUACCAGGGGUGGGGGUUUGUAAUCGCUAUGGAGCACUGUUUCUGCUUAUGUUGUUGUUGUUGCUAGGUGCCAUCAAGCAGGUUCUGACUGAUGGCGACCCUACAUACCACAGAACGAAACACUGCCCGGUCCUGCGCCAUCCUCACAAUCGUUGCUUUGCUUGAGCCCAUUGUUGCAGCCACUGUGUCAGUCCAUCUCGUUGAGGGUCUUCCUCUUUUAUGCUGACCCUCUACUUUACCAAGCAUGAUGUCCUUCUCCACAGACUGAUCCUUCCUGGCAACAUGUCCAAGUGUCAAAGUCAGAAGUUUGCUGACCCUCAAAGCCCCACGUGUUCUGGGCUCUGUCACCUCUUGUUCGCUCUGCUCCAAGCACACUGGCCGUGUUUUUCUCUUUUUCGAGCAUAUGAAGCUGUUGAAAACAUCACGGCUUGGGCCACGUCCUCUUUCGUGACAGUCAUUUCCAGUUUCCUGUAACAAAACGUUUGAAACAACCCAGGUGCUCAUCAACAGAUGAAUGGAUAAACCCAGUGUGGUCCAUCCAUACAAUGAAAUGUUAUUCAGCAGUAAAAAAGAAUGAAGUUCUGAUAGAUGCUGCAACAUGACUGAACCUUGAAAACGUUAUACUGAGUAAAAAAAAACAGACACCUAACGGACCACAUCUACCACGGCCUCCACCAGACUGAGUCCAGUACAACUAGAUGGUGCCCAGCUACCAACACUGACUGCUCCGACAAGGGUCACAAUAGAGGGUCCCAGACAGAGCUGGAGGAAAAUGUAGAACAAAAUUCUAACUCAAAAAGAAAGACCAGACUUGCUGGCCUGACAGAAAUUGGAGAAACGCUGAGAGUAUGGCCCCCAGACACCCUUUCAGCUCAGUAAUGAGUUCACUCCUGAGGUUCACCAUUCAACCAAAGAUUGAACAGGCCCAUGGAACAAAACAAGACUAAAGGGGGCACCAGCCCUGGGGCAGUGUCUGGAAGGCAGGAGGGGACAGGAAAGCUGGUAAUAGGGAACCCAGGGUUGAGAAGGGAGACUGUUGACAUGUUGUGGGGUUGUUACCAAUGUCAUACAAAAACUAACUGUUUAAUGAGAAACUGGUUUGUUCUAUAAACCUUUAUCUAAAGUGCAAUUAAAAAAAAAAAAAAGCCAGACGCAAAAGAAUGAAUUUUGUAUGAUGCCACUUAAAUAUAAAAUAUCUGGAAUAGGCAAAUGCAUAGAAACCCGAGUUUAUCAUCAGUGGUUACCAGGGACUGGAGGGAGGAGGAAAUGGGGAGUUAUCUCUUAAGGGGUACUAAGUUUCUGUUUGGGGUGAUGAAAACAUUGGAAAUGGAUAGUGGUGAGGGUUAUACAAUAGACAAAUAUGACUAAUGUAGUUUGUCAUUGAAUUGUACACUUGAAAAUAGUGAAAAUGACAAAUAUGUAUAUUUUGCCACAAUAAAAAUUAAAUUAUAUAAAUAAUGACCAAAAAAGGCUGCAAGGCUAAUAACAGCAAUAGUUGUAUUAUUACCUCCAUGUAAAAAGCGGAAAUUGAAGCUCAGAGUAGAAGAUUUGCUCAAGUUCGCACAGGAGUUCGUUCAUUUGUUCCACAAAUGUAUUUGUUGAAUACCUACAAUGGGAGAGGGAUGUGCUGGCCACUGGGUGUAUCGGGUGAGCAGAACAGACCCUGAACCUACCCUCAAGGGUCUCAUUGUCCAAGUGGGCAGAGAGUUGCUGUUUGAGCCGCCACAACUGGACACGUGCAGCUAUGACUUCAUUAUAGGCGGGAGGAGGCACAGUGGUCUGACAGCCUGUGAAAUGGGGAUGACCUCGUCGGGAAGCCAGGGAAGGCUCCCUGGAAAAGGUGAUGCCUGAGCAGGGGGGUAAAGGCUGAGUAUGGGAUAACUAUGCAGAGAGGAAAGAGAGUAGCAUUCCAGGCAAAGAAUGCAGAGCAUUUCAAGGGCCAUGGCUGGAGGGCGGGGGACAAAUUCAAGGGACUGAAAAGACAGCCAGAGGGGAGGAUGGUGGGAUGUGAGGCUGGAGAAGUCAGCAGAGGCCAGAUCAUGUAGGGACUUCAAGGUCAUGGAAAGGACUUUUUUCUUUAUCCUAACAACAAAUGGUAACCAGUAAGGGGCUUGAACAAUGAGAGGAAGGCGGAGGUAGGCACUUGGUUUUAAGAAGAACUAGCUGGCGAGGUUGGGGAGAGCCAAACUGGAUGGAGGUUGACCAGUUAGGAGUCUGCUGCAGUUGUUUCCAAAAGAAUGAUGGUGGCUGGGCUAGGGUGGGGACAGGAGAGAAGAUGAAAUCAAGAGAUGUUUAGGAAGUGACAUCUAUUGAGAGAGUACGAAUUGCUCGUGAUCUUAACUUGGAGCCCCUGGGUGGUGUAAACAGUUAUGUGCUCGGCUGCCAACCAAAAGGUUGAAGGUUUGAGUCUACCCAGAGGCACCUCAGAAGAAAGGCCUGGCAACCCACUUCUGAAAAAAUCAGCCAUUGAAAACCCUAUGGAGCACAGUUCUACUCUGACAAACAUGGGGUUGCCAUGAGUUGGAACUGACUCAACGGCAAGUGGUUUUUUGUGCUCUUAACUACCACGUUAUACAUUUUGGAGACAAUCUCAGACGCAGUUCAAGAGGUUUGUCUCCAACAGGUGAGCUGUUGGAGACCUGGGACAGGCCCGUGGGGACUAGGAGAUGGGCCAGGCCAGCAUGGCCGGAGAGAAGCCACAAAGCUACACAAUUGGGAGGGGAUUUGUGUGUGAGCACUGGGUAGAGGAAGUCUUCGGAAGGAAGAGGUUGGUGGGAAUUUGGAACAGGCGACUGACUGGGGACAGCAUCCAAGCUCCAGUAAAGAAGUUUGGUCUGAGUGUCCAGGGUCACUGGAGGUAGCAAAGGCCAAAUACAUAGCUCCCUAUCCCCAGGUUGCCAAGUUUCCUCACUGCAGAUCGGUCCCAGAACCUGCUCUUUCUUGGCCAGACAAAGCCUCAGAAUUGACCUUUUUUUCCCUUUUUUAUUUGUUGUACUUUAUUUUAUUUUUUAUUGUACUUUAGAUUAAGGUUUAUAGAACAAACUAGUUUCUCAUUAAACAGUACACAUAUUGUUUUAUGACAUUGUUAACAACCCCACAACAUGUCAACACUCUCCCUUCUCAACCUUGGCUUCCCUAUUACCAGCGUUCCUGUCCCCUCCUGCGUUCUAGUCCUUGCCCCAGGGUGUGCCCCUUUAGUCUUGUUUUUUUUUUUAUGGGUCCAAUCUUUGGCUGAAUGGUGAACCUCAGGAGUGACUUUAUUGCCGAGCUGAAAGGGUGUC